ACAGGAAUCACCUGGGAACUUGUUAAAAGGCAGGCUGUAAUGCAAUAUAUGGGGGAUGAACCCUGAGAUCCUGCAUUUCUAACAAGUUCCCAAGUGAUAUCACU
rnacentral:pre_miRNA from 1 species